AAAUUGAAGAGUUUGAUCAUGGCUCAGAUUGAACGCUGGCGGCAGGCCUAACACAUGCAAGUCGAACGGUAACAGGAAGAAGCUUGCUUCUUUGCUGACGAGUGGCGGACGGGUGAGUAAUGUCUGGGAAGCUGCCUGAUGGAGGGGGAUAACUACUGGAAACGGUAGCUAAUACCGCAUAACGUCGCAAGACCAAAGAGGGGGACCUUCGGGCCUCUUGCCAUCGGAUGUGCCCAGAUGGGAUUAGCUAGUAGGUGGGGUAACGGCUCACCUAGGCGACGAUCCCUAGCUGGUCUGAGAGGAUGACCAGCCACACUGGAACUGAGACACGGUCCAGACUCCUACGGGAGGCAGCAGUGGGGAAUAUUGCACAAUGGGCGCAAGCCUGAUGCAGCCAUGCCGCGUGUAUGAAGAAGGCCUUCGGGUUGUAAAGUACUUUCAGCGGGGAGGAAGGGAGUAAAGUUAAUACCUUU
rnacentral:rRNA from 1 species